ensembl:lncRNA
GGGCGAUCCCAGCGUGCGGCCCUGAGGCACUGUCCCCACACCGCUCCACACUGUCCCGAAGCCCCGAGCGCCAGCCCGGACCCCCGGGACACGCCCCCCCACCACACACACACACACACACACACACACACACACACACACACACUCCCCCCCCCGACCCCCGGGACACACACCCCCACCCCACCCCUGCACCCCCGCACCCCGACCGCUGGGACACCCCCCACACACUCCCCUCCCCUCCAGCAACGCGCGGCGCUCCCAUCCCCCGGCAGCCCACCAGGUGGCGCUCGCUCCCCCAUUUCCCCCCCCCCUCCCGCGCCGACGCCCGUGACGUCAGCCGCCCGGCUCCAUUUGAGCGCCUCUCGGCAGCCGAGAACUCGGACUUCCCGUGUGGCUCACAACAUAACUACUCGGCGUUGCUUCUACAGUGGCUGUGGCUCGACCCCUGGCCUGGGAACUUCCAUAUGCCGCAGCCCCGCGGCGGCAGAUGGCACUCGUUCUGCCGCUUUUUCCUGGCUGUGUGCGAUGCCAUCGCAUAGAUGUCCCCGGGUCUGCGAAGUGCACUCACCUGUCAGUGGACCUUUAGGUGGCUUCCAGAUCUUGGCUCUGCCCCGCGGCGGCAGAUGGCACUCGUUCUGCCGCUUUUUCCUGGCUGUGUGCGAUGCCAUCGCAUGGAUGUCCCCGGGCCUUCGAAGUGCACUCACCUGUCAGUGGACCUUUAGGUGGCUUCCAGAUCUUGGCUCUGGUGAGUAGUGCGGCGACAGACAGAGGGGUGCCCGGGUCUGCUUCCGGGAAAGUUUGGUCCCGGUGAAAUGGAGCUGUUUGGAGGCCGGCUUCGGUCUUUGUGUGGGCCGGCCCGUGUAGGGCUGCUUGGCUGAGACUCUGUCGAGGAGGGAGGCCUUCAGCCACCGGGGCCUCACGGGGCCUCCCCGUGCGGCACCAUCACAGAGCUCUCCGUCACUGCCCCUGGUGGGGGUGAGGGAAGGGGCGUGUUUGGGGGGUGGGGUGGGCGGGGUGUGUGCGCGCGCGCGUGCACGCACGCUGGCGGGCGUGGGUGUCCCGGGG